UCGGUCCUACGGGACGCAGCAGUGGGGGAUAUUGCACAAUGGGGGAAACCCUGAUGCAGCGACGCCGCGUGGGCGAAGAAGUAUUUCGGUAUGUAAAGCCCUAUCAGCAGGGAAGAAGAAAUGACGGUACCUGAGUAAGAAGCACCGGCUAAAUACGUGCCAGCAGCCGCGGUAAUACGUAUGGAGCAAGCGUUAUCCGGAUUUACUGGGUGUCAAGGGAUCGCAGUCGGCACGGCAAGCCUGAUGUGAAAGCCCGCGGCCCAACCGCGGGACUGCAUUGGGCACUACCGGGCUGGAGCGCCGGG
rnacentral:rRNA from 1 species